rnacentral:rRNA from 1 species
GACGAACGCUGGCGGCGUGCCUAAUACAUGCAAGUCGAGCGGACGAAUCGAAAGCUUGCUUUUGAUUCGUUAGCGGCGGACGAGUGAGUAACACGUGGGCAACCUGCCCUGUAGACGGGGAUAACACCGAGAAAUCGGUGCUAAUACCGGAUAACACGAAAUGUCGCAUGACGUUUCGUUGAAAGACGGCGCAAGCUGCCGCUACAGGAUGGGCCCGCGGCGCAUUAGCUAGUUGGUGAGGUAACGGCUCACCAAGGCGACGAUACGUAGCCGACCUGAGAGGGUGAUCGGCCACACUGGGACUGAGACACGGCCCAGACUCCUACGGGAGGCAGCAGUAGGGAAUCUUCCGCAAUGGACGAAAGUCUGACGGAGCAACGCCGCGUGAGCGAAGAAGGCCUUCGGGUCGUAAAGCUCUGUUGUUAGGGAAGAACAAGUAACGCAGUAACUGGCGUUACCGUGACGGUACCUAACGAGAAAGCCACGGCUAACUACGUG